rnacentral:tRNA from 1 species
CGGGGCGUAGUUUAGCUAGCUAGAACAUUUCCUUUACACCGAGAAGACAUCCGUGCAAAUCGGGUUGCCCUGA